CCGCGCGUGUGUGAAGAAGGCCUUUUGGUUGUAAAGCACUUUAAGCGAGGAGGAGGCUACCUAGAUUAAUACUCUGGGAUAGUGGACGUUACUCGCAAAAUAAGCACCGGCUAACUCUGUGCCAGCAGCCGCGGUAAUACAGAGGGUGCGAGCGUUAAUCGGAUUUACUGGGCGUAAAGCGUGCGUAGGCGGCUGAUUAAGUCGGAUGUGAAAUCCCUGAGCUUAACUUAGGAAUUGCAUUCGAUACUGGUCAGCUAGAGUAUGGGAGAGGAUGGUAGAAUUCCAGGUGUAGCGGUGAAAUGCGUAGAGAUCUGGAGGAAUACCGAUGGCGAAGGCAGCCAUCUGGCCUAAUACUGACGCUGAGGUACGAAAGCAUGGGGAGCAAACAGGAUUAGAUACCCUGGUAGUCCAUGCCGUAAACGAUGUCUACUAGCCGUUGGGGUCUUUGAGGCUUUAGUGGCGCAGCUAACGCGAUAAGUAGACCGCCUGGGGAGUACGGUCGCAAGACUAAAACUCAAAUGAAUUGACGGA
rnacentral:rRNA from 1 species